rnacentral:rRNA from 1 species
ACGAACGCUGGCGGCGUGCUUAACACCUGCAAGUCGAACGCGCCUGUCCUCUGGGUUUCUGGGGGGUGGGUGAGUGGCGAACGGGUGAGUAACACGUGAGUAACCUGCCCCCUUCUUCGGGAUAACGGUCUGAAAGGGCUGCUAAUACCGGGUAUUCACUGGUCUCCGCAUGGGGUCUGGUGGAAAGGUUUUUUUCUGGUGGGGGAUGGGCUCGCGGCCUAUCAGCUUGUUGGUGGGGUGAGGGCCCACCAAGGCUUUGACGGGUAGCCGGCCUGAGAGGGUGACCGGUCACAUUGGGACGGAGCUACGGCCCAGACUCCGACGGGGGGCAGCAGUGGGGAAUAUUGCACAAUGGGCGCAAGCCUGAUGCAGCGACUCCGCGUGAGGGAUGGAGGCCUUCGGGUUGUGAACCUCUUUCGCCCGUGGUCAAGCCGCGACGUGGGUCGUGGUGAGGGUAGUGGGUAAAGAAGCGCCGGCUAACUACGUG